UGUUAUCACGGGAGACACACGGCGGGUGCUAACGUCCGUCGUGAAGAGGGAAACAACCCAGACCGCCAGCUAAGGUCCCAAAGUCAUGGUUAAGUGGGAAACGAUGUGGGAAGGCCCAGACAGCCAGGAUGUUGGCUUAGAAGCAGCCAUCAUUUAAAGAAAGCGUAAUAGCUCACUGGUCGAGUCGGCCUGCGCGGAAGAUGUAACGGGGCUAAACCAUGCACCGAAGCUGCGGCAGCGAACGUAUCACUUAAAGCGAUUCAGCGGGUUACGAUUGACGGAGCGAAGCGACGUCAAAGCGUAUACAAAGUCGAGUCGGUUUAAGGAUACGUUCGUUGGGUAGGGGAGCGUUCUGUAAGCCCGUGAAGGUGGCCUGUGAGGGUUGCUGGAGGUAUCAGAAGUGCGAAUGCUGACAUAAGUAACGAUAAAGCGGGUGAAAAGCCCGCUCGCCGGAAGACCAAGGGUUCCUGUCCAACGUUAAUCGGGGCAGGGUGAGUCGACCCCUAAGGCGAGGCCGAAAGGCGUAGUCGAUGGGAAACGGGUUAAUAUUCCCGUACUUGGUGUUACUGCGAAGGGGGGACGGAGAAGGCUAUGUUGGCCGGGCGACGGUUGUCCCGGUUUAAGCGUGUAGGUGUGUGUUCCAGGUAAAUCCGGUUCACUUUAACACUGAGGCGUGACGACGAGGCACUACGGUGCUGAAGCAACAAAUGCCCUGCUUCCAGGAAAAGCCUCUAAGCAUCAGGUAACAUCAAAUCGUACCCCAAACCGACACAGGUGGUCAGGUAGAGAAUACCAAGGCGCUUGAGAGAACUCGGGUGAAGGAACUAGGCAAAAUGGUGCCGUAACUUCGGGAGAAGGCACGCUGACACGUAGGUGAAGUGAUUUACUCAUGGAGCUGAAGUCAGUCGAAGAUACCAGCUGGCUGCAACUGUUUAUUAAAAACACAGCACUGUGCAAACACGAAAGUGGACGUAUACGGUGUGACGCCUGCCCGGUGCCGGAAGGUUAAUUGAUGGGGUCAGCGUAAGCGAAGCUCCUGAUCGAAGCCCCGGUAAACGGCGGCCGUAACUAUAACGGUCCUAAGGUAGCGAAAUUCCUUGUCGGGUAAGUUCCGACCUGCACGAAUGGCGUAAUGAUGGCCAGGCUGUCUCCACCCGAGACUCAGUGAAAUUGAACUCGCUGUGAAGAUGCAGUGUACCCGCGGCAAGACGGAAAGACCCCGUGAACCUUUACUAUAGCUUGACACUGAACAUUGAGCCUUGAUGUGUAGGAU
rnacentral:rRNA from 1 species